GGGCGCCUAGUAUAGUGGUCAGUACACUUCGUUGUGGCUCGGAUCUCCGAGUUCUCAUCCCCGAAGAAACCCAGGUUCGAUUCCUGGGGCGCCCA